CAGCAGUCAAGAAUAUUAGUCAAUGCUCGCAAGAGUGAACUAGCUAACUGAAAUCAUAAGUGUGUCACUUGUGAUAACGUAAGGGAAAAUAAUGAUAUUACCUUACUAUUAGUGUCGUCCAAAUCUGGUGCCAGAAGACUCGGUAAGGCCAGAGACGCAAACGUUAGUCAUCUUAAUCAGGCGUAAAGGGUUCGUAGGCAGCUUAAAAUUCUUAAUAUUUAAAAUUAACCUGGCCCGGUCCGCUUUUUAAAAUGAAGCGAUGGGAGUGUCAUUAUUGACAUAAUAGAAAUUUUUAAGAAAAUUAGAGCUAGAAUCAAAUAGGGGUUAUAUUAAAUAAUACUUAGAGGAGGGCUAAUAUCCUAAGAACCUAAGGGGAAUACUUAUGGCGUAGGCUAUUUUUCCACUAUUGAUUGACGCUGAGGAACGAAGGUGAGGAUAGGAAAUAGGAUUAGAUACCCUGGUACCCCUCUCUGUCAACGAUGAAUGGUGGUUUCUAGAAUUAGUAUAUUCUGGUUUCUAUGCUAACGCGAUAACCAUUCCGCCUUGUGAGUACGGUUGCAAAACUGAAAACAAAAAAAUUAGUCGUUCUCGAAGCAAACGAAGUGAAGCAUGUUAUUUAAUUCGAUAAUCCGC
rnacentral:rRNA from 1 species